GAUGAACGCUGGCGGCGUGCCUAAUACAUGCAAGUCGAGCGAACGGACGAGAAGCUUGCUUCUCUGAUGUUAGCGGCGGACGGGUGAGUAACACGUGGAUAACCUACCUAUAAGACUGGGAUAACUUCGGGAAACCGGAGCUAAUACCGGAUAAUAUUUUGACCCGCAUGGUUCAAAAGUUAAAGACGGUCUUGCUGUCACUUAUAGAUGGAUCCGCGCUGCAUUAGCUAGUUGGUAAGGUAACGGCUUACCGAGGCAACGAUGCAUAGCCGACCUGAGAGGGUGAUCGGCCACACUGGAACUGAGACACGGUCCAGACUCCUACGGGAGGCAGCAGUAGGGAAUCUUCCGCAAUGGACGAAAGCCUGACGGAGCAACGCCGCGGGAGUGAUGAAGGUCUUCGGAUCGUAAAACUCUGUUAUUAGGGAAGAACAUAUGUGUAAGUAACUGUGCACAUCUUGACGGUACCUAAUCAGAAAGCCACGGCUAACUCCGUG
rnacentral:rRNA from 1 species